rnacentral:misc_RNA from 1 species
CACGUUCUCUCUCUCUCUCUCUCUGUUUACUUGUAAGGAUCUAGAUUUUGCAGCUUAAUGCAAAUUGCUUGGUUCUCUUCUGUUUAAUGCCGUCGAACAAUUAGAUAGCGAGUUUACUCUUCCUGUAUUACAGCAAUUUAGAAUUCAGGAAACAUCUUGUUGAAGCUCAUAUCAAGUGCAUCCUUAUCGUUAUUGUGCUUUUACCUAUACAGCAUAUAUGAAGCUGUGGUCUUACUUGGAUCUGAACGAGCUUAAACUCUAGGGAGAGAGAGAGUGUGAGUUUAAUUGCCACUUAUUUUGUUGGCGAGAGAUUCUGUCUCGAAUUCAGAUUGAGAGCUCCUAUGAGUUUUUACAGAAAUUAGCUAACUUGAUAUUUGUGUGUCAAAUUGAGUUGGACACUUUCUAUGAAUAUGCUGCGAAAUUUUUUAGACUUCUUUUUUGAAAUGCUUGUGAAAUGAUAUUUGUUCUUGGAAUCUGAUUUACCUUUUGGCUUUUGAAUCCAACAGUCACUUUUCAUUAAAGUUGGCACUUGGUUGCAUGUCCUGUUUACUGUUAAGUGUAACCUGUUCAUUUUCACCUAUUUUGAAGUUUGCCUAAUUUCUAUUGAAAUGUGCGACAGGAAUU